rnacentral:lncRNA from 1 species
GAGUUUCUUAAUUUAGAUACAUCCGGAUAAGUAUUGAUUAACCUGCCAAAACAUCUAGGAACAGGAAUCUCCAGGUGUUUCCGAUGACGUGUGGCAAGGUAAAUCAAUUCCUCGCCCAUAUUUUUAUUUUAGUUUCUUAAUUUAGAUACAUCAGGGAAAAAAUUAAUCAUUUGGCCAACACAUUCAAAAUGAUGAGCAGGCACAUGUAAAUCAAUUCAUCGCACAUAUUUGUAUGCCAACACAUCCAAAGAAUUUUAAGGCUGUGGCCCUAUAGAUGGGCCGCGAGAACCCGUUUUCAAAGAUUGAUGAGAAUACGAGCAAAUUUGGUCCAGUACGGUCCAUUAAUUAGAAAAUUGAUUAAUACAUUUUUAUUUUAUAUUUUCAUUAUAUAUUAAUUGACAGUUUAUUUGACCUUGAGAGUUAACACUGGAUCACGAUUUGUUGCUUGGACCUAUAGGUCGAUAUGGGAUUUUUGAUCUAAACCUACCUUCACCUCACGACGAUGAGAUAUAAAAGCAUUAUUUGCACCGGAUGAAAAGAAUGUCCGGUAAUUGACGUUGAGUUGGUAAAAAUAAUGUUAGUGUGGAUCCUACUGAUCAUUUGUUUGCAAGCUUGCCUUCGCCUUGCUUGCAGGCAGGCAGGCCAAAUUUCGCCUCUUUUUUGUCCUUUAUGCCAGUGGUUCGGCCAGGCUGGAGCAGGGGUCGGGGCCACACCACCUUUCACAGAUGCAGCAGCAGUUUAGGUAUUUUGAGAGCUCACCGCCAAACGGGCGAUUUGAGCAUCCGUUUAUAAAGCAGACAAACCAGCAGGUGUACUGAGUGGGGGCGCCGGUUUCAUAGUAGUAAUGGUGUAGUGGUGUCUCCAUUGUAUGUCGAGGAUUUGGAGUUGCCUUGGGAGGAAAGUCCUCACCCUGUUUCCAACUCGGAAUGAUUGAAAUUGGGGUAUAUCUUUCUCCUCAAUUUGGCUUUUAGGCAUUGUGAAAAUCUGCAUUUGGAUUAACAUUUAGUAUUUAUUUUAGUAACAUAUUCCAAUCAAUUCUGAGUUCUUAGCUGUUCUUGAUAGGUGGAGCUAUUAGCAUUACGCUUCAGGUAAUCUACUACUGCUUAAAUGCUUGUGGCAGUCAUGUAUAUCUUGAUCUCUAUAUGUUAGACAGAGUCUUCAAUUUUGGUUUCAAACAAUCCAAUUCCAUUUUUCCAUAACUGUAAACAAGUUGUAAGUAGCAUUCGUGUCCAUGCCAGCUUCUGGUGUUGAAAACAAGCAAUCGAGUUAUUGUUAAGUUGAACAGAGAAGCCCCAUUGAUUGGGUAUGGUUCCAUCUCCCAGUGGUGAGCAAACAACAGCCUUCGUGUCCAUGCCAGCUUCUGGUGUUGAAAACAAGCAAUCAAGUUAUUGUUAAGUUUGAAGAUCAACAUGGCUCCUCCUAGAAAAUUCACAUUAUUCCUUCUUUUCUACUGAAUUGAUCGUAGCCACUACCUACAAUCCAGGAAGAUGAAUGCCACAAGUAGAAACUUACAAAGAGCCCACGACUUGUGAUCUUGUAGAAAGACAUCUUACCUUCUGAGCAAGAUGAGAAUUUUUCCUUGUGCCCUUCUCAUUGAAAACAAUGCUCCAGUGUUCCACUCGCACUUUUUAAGCAUUUGGAUCAAGAUCGUAGCUCUGAUCUAUGAUAGCAUGGGAAGUUGAUUGGUUGCCUGAACUUAGUAAAUUAGUAUAUCAAAGAAGAUGGUGUGGCCUAAAGGUUUGGUUAAUUCUUGAUUAUGCAGCUUUGGGUGAAAGCUUGGCAAUUACAAUGAGAUCAUAAUGUCUUCAAGAAGUUUGAGAUGGUGAUACAGAUCCAUGGGCUACAUAAUUGCACGUUUUGUUGACAUUUUCCGGAAGGAUGCUGUUUUUAAAUGGUGAAAGCAACUUUUGAAGCCAUUGGUAUUGAAAUGCACACCAGGACUCAUCCUACGUAUGUUGUUCUGGACCACAUUUAAUUCCAACCCUUGCUUGGUGCAUUUUUUUUUAAUAAUUUUGCAGCUCAUUUUUGAAGGCUUCAAGGCUUGCUCUCUUGUAAUCAAUAUUAGGACCAAUUUUUGCAUUAGGAAAAUAAAAUAUGCUGGAAUUGUAUUUCCACUCAUUGGGUUUGUUUUUGUACUUGGAUAGCUAUUUUGUAAUUGGCAUCUUCAAUAACUUUUAGAUGUACAGUUUUAUAUAUCUGAUUUUCAAUAAUUUCUAUUUUUUACUGUUUUGUUAUGUUAAAUAAU